rnacentral:antisense_RNA from 1 species
GCUGAGAGGCCUGUGAGAGGUUCUGGGGCGCCACCGCAGUCAUUCUGUUCAGCGGGUUUAGGACUUUCAUUCAUAGGACUGUCCUUGAUUCCUAGCCAUCACUGGGAGGCUCUACCUUCAAGUGUUAUCCAGAAUCAGACCACCUCACCUCAUCUACUGCGGCCUCCCUGGGACGGGCCUGGCCUCCUUCAGUCUGUUCUCACCACAAAGCCACCAGAAGGAUCCUUUUAUUUUGAUUGAUUGAUUGAUUGAUAUGGGGUCUGACUCUGUCAGCAGGCUGGAGUGCAAUGGCACGAUGUCACCUCACUGCAAGCUCUGCUUCCUGGACUCGAGCAAUCCUCCCACCACUGCCUCCCGAGUACCUGGGACCACAGGUGCACACCACCAUGCCCAGUUAAUCUUUUUGUAUUUUUGGUAGAGAUGGGGUUUCACCAUUUUGCCCAGGAUGGUCUCAAACUCUUAAGCUCAAGCAAUCUACCCACCUCAGCUUCCCACAGUGCUGGGAUUACAGGCGUGGGACACCACGCCCAGCGCCUUUUAAAAGCGCAGUUGGAUCAUAGCAUUUAUCUGCUCAUAACAAUGGCUUUUGCUUCCCCGCUCACUCAAAAGAAAAGUCCUUCUUCACUGCAGAACUGUCCCUCCUACCACAGGAUGUUUAGGGUUCCUGGCUGGAACCCCCAAAGGUCCUAAUGGUGCUGGUCAUGGGGGGAUCCACACCAUUGUGACAACGAAAUAUGCC